CCUAUAAGACUUGCAUAUUUUGUAAUAAAAUGCAUAUAGAAAUCCUGCCUAUAGGAUUUGCAUUAUUUGUAAUCAAAUGAAUAUAGAAAUACUUCCUAUAGGACUUGCAUAUUUUUGUAAUCAAAUGCAUAUAGAAAUCCUGCCUAUAAGACUUGCAUACGCGAUAGGCAAGUUGUAGGGUUAAAUGCUCAAUUAUUUAUCAAUUCCUUAACGGCUUUUAAAAUCAGAAGAAUAGACAUCAUGC
rnacentral:lncRNA from 1 species